GGGGCGAAGUCUCGGGGCUGGAGAGGAGAGGUCCGCAGUAAGUGGCCGGCCAGUGGCGGGCUACUGAAGAAGAACGUAGGGCAGGGAUCCCCUCCUGGCGCAGCGGAGGUAGUGGGAGGCAUAGUUUUUGGCAAUAGCCAGCCAAGGAUACAGGGAACAGGUGCGGCGCCUGCACGCUGACUUCACGUGGUGGAUGUCUGGCUGAGAGAGAAGUAGGAAAUCCUCACAACGCUUCUUCCAGCUUUGAUCUGCCUGGGGCAGCCCGUGGUGGAAGAUGACUCUGUAGCCCUGGUGUCUACCAGUAUCCGGAGUGGGAGCCCCAAGAGCCAUGUAGACAGGCACCCAGCACUGUGCCAGGGUUUCCCCAGACCACCAGGAUACACGGAGGCCAACGGCAGCUGUGGCAGAAGAGGGCAAGACCAUACCUGGAACCAGCACUGUUGUGUGGCUUCACAGGCAUGCAAAAUGCAGGAGUUACAAGGUCGAGGAGACUUGCACCAGUGUUCCCGAAAGCUCCGCAGGCCAGCUAUGUGGGAGUUGGCUGGCUCUGGGGACGAGCUGUUGGCAGUGCAGGUGGCUGGCGACAAGGAUGGAGUGUGAGGCCUCGAGACAGGAUGGCAGGCAGCACAGAAGCCUCCGCACUCAGCAGAGCUGCGGUCCUGGCUGCUCUGAGGGUAAGUAGAAAGUGUCUGGUUUCCUGCGUGUCUGAGGCACACUGGCCUCUUCCUCCAGCCUGGCUGCUGCUUUUCAGGCCCCCAACGCUUGUGGCUUUAAAUCUGAGUAAGUCACAAUCCCUGACUUCUUUCUCUGUAGUUCUGCCAAAAUGAAAAGGUGCCCCCCAAUACAGUUUCCACUCUGCAACUCUACUCAAACCCAGAGCCGACCCUGAGGAACCUGCUUGGUCCCAGACUUCCCUCCCACCCUGUGGGAACAGUAUUUUCUGCAAACCCAACCUUGUGGGCUAAGGCUUUUGACUCCUCUAGCUUCUCACAGACUGGGAGGCAGUGCCUUCCUCGGGGCUGGGGUGGGAGGUACAACAGUCGGCCAGCUCAGGAAGUUCUUCUAGGGUUCGCCUCUGUGGCUGAAGCAAGACUGGGAGUGGGAGAAAAAAGCAGAGACUGCACUGGGCUCUGGCUCCAGAGGCCCCCAGGUGCUCUGAGAGCCGGUCUCCUUUGGGACCAGGACCAGGAGGGUAAAUUGAGUCCACAGUUCCCGCCUCAGGAAUCCUUCUGUAAGACCUCUGACAUCACAGACAAAGGAAGCCCAACUGCCAAACGCAGACUUUGCCUUGGGCAACUAAAUUUAUUAGCAAGAAACUUUUUGUCAGCCCAGUACUGACCAACAAAAUACAUCGUUAAUAAAGGAUAACAAAUCUUCACUUAAUUAAUAAAACAUCCUCAAGCAGUUACAAC
rnacentral:lncRNA from 1 species